rnacentral:rRNA from 3 species
CCUAUCUGCCGUGGGCGCUGGAGAACUGAGGGGGGCUGCUCCUAGUACGAGAGGACCGGAGUGGACGCAUCACUGGUGUUCGGGUUGUCAUGCCAAUGGCACUGCCCGGUAGCUAAAUGCGGAAGAGAUAAGUGCUGAAAGCAUCUAAGCACGAAACUUGCCCCGAGAUGAGUUCUCCCUGAGACUUAGAGUCUCCUGAAGGAACGUUGAAGACGACGACGUUGAUAGGCCGGGUGUGUAAGCGCAGCGAUGCGUUGAGCUAACCGGUACUAAUGAACCGUGAGGCUUAACCUUACAACGCCGAAG